rnacentral:lncRNA from 1 species
AAGGAGUGUGUGGCCCCCGGGUCAAUUAGAACACGUGCAAGAUAACCAAAGAUUGGAAUCAUACCAGUAAUCACGUCCGGGGUGGCAUGUGCUUCCUGCUGAGUCAUAGAGAACACUCGGCCCUGAGUAGUGGAACGCCCAGGCUGACCCCUUGAUUGCCUACCACUCCUGCCUCUAGAAGAUGACAGUGCCCUACUAUUGGAUGACCCUGCUGCAGAGGAAGAAGCACCACCUUAACUCUGAUUCUGACCCAUACUACCCUGCCCUUGUUGGGCCCCAGUCCUCUGGAUUGCUGCAUCACUUUGGAGUAUAAUUGGGCAGCUUCUCUUAGUAUGCCCCACUUGCCC